GACGAACGUUGGCGGCGUGCUUAACACAUGCAAGUCGAACGGAAAGGCCCUGCUUUUGUGGGGUGCUCGAGUGGCGAACGGGUGAGUAACACGUGAGUAACCUGCCCUUGACUUUGGGAUAACUUCAGGAAACUGGGGCUAAUACCGGAUAGGAGCUCCUGCUGCAUGGUGGGGGUUGGAAAGUUUCGGCGGUUGGGGAUGGACUCGCGGCUUAUCAGCUUGUUGGUGGGGUAGUGGCUUACCAAGGCUUUGACGGGUAGCCGGCCUGAGAGGGUGACCGGCCACAUUGGGACUGAGAUACGGCCCAGACUCCUACGGGAGGCAGCAGUGGGGAAUAUUGCACAAUGGGCGGAAGCCUGAUGCAGCAACGCCGCGUGCGGGAUGACGGCCUUCGGGUUGUAAACCGCUUUCGCCUGUGACGAAGCGUGAGUGACGGUAAUGGGUAAAGAAGCACCGGCUAACUACGUGCCAGCAGCCGCGGUGAUACGUAGGGUGCGAGCGUUGUCCGGAUUUAUUGGGCGUAAAGGGCUCGUAGGUGGUUGAUCGCGUCGGAAGUGUAAUCUUGGGGCUUAACCCUGAGCGUGCUUUCGAUACGGGUUGACUUGAGGAAGGUAGGGGAGAAUGGAAUUCCUGGUGGAGCGGUGGAAUGCGCAGAUAUCAGGAGGAACACCAGUGGCGAAGGCGGUCCUCUGGGCCUUUCCUGACGCUGAGGAGCGAAAGCGUGGGGAGCGAACAGGCUUAGAUACCCUGGUAGUCCACGCUGUAAACGGUGGGUACUAGGUGUGGGGUCCAUUCCACGGGUUCCGUGCCGUAGCUAACGCUUUAAGUACCCCGCCUGGGGAGUACGGCCGCAAGGCUAAAACUCAAAGGAAUUGACGGGGCCCCGCACAAGCGGCGGAGCAUGCGGAUUAAUUCGAUGCAACGCGUAGAACCUUACCUGGGUUUGACAUGGAUCGGGAGUGCUCAGAGAUGGGUGUGCCUCUUUUGGGGUCGGUUCACAGGUGGUGCAUGGCUGUCGUCAGCUCGUGUCGUGAGAUGUUGGGUUAAGUCCCGCAACGAGCGCAACCCUUGUUCACUGUUGCCAGCACGUUAUGGUGGGGACUCAGUGGAGACCGCCGGGGUCAACUCGGAGGAAGGUGGGGAUGACGUCAAGUCAUCAUGCCCCUUAUGUCCAGGGCUUCACGCAUGCUACAAUGGCUGGUACAGAGAGUGGCGAGCCUGUGAGGGUGAGCGAAUCUCGGAAAGCCGGUCUCAGUUCGGAUUGGGGUCUGCAACUCGACCUCAUGAAGUCGGAGUCGCUAGUAAUCGCAGAUCAGCAACGCUGCGGUGAAUACGUUCCCGGGGCU
rnacentral:rRNA from 1 species